rnacentral:pre_miRNA from 1 species
ACAACAUUCGGACCGUCGGUCUACCGAGCAAAUAUCACCCGUUCGAUGGAAGAUCGUUUAAUCAU